rnacentral:ncRNA from 1 species
GUAAAAUUUUAUUCUAGUUUUUUUAUUAGGUAAUCUUAUGUUUUACAUGUAAAUUUUAGUGUGAUUUUUAAUUUUUAAAUAAAGAGAUUUUGUAUUUACAGUGUUUAGUUUUAAAUUUUCAAUAAUUUGAGAUUUAGCAAUAAGAUUAGUAUAAACAAAUAUUGUGCCAGCAGUUGCGGUUAUUCAAUAUAUACAAUUUAAUAAUGUUGGAUUUAUAAAAAAUUUAUUUAAUUAUUAUAAGUUUUAUACUAUUAAGUGAAAUUUUAGUAUAUUAAAAAAUAAAUUUAUUUUAAUAUAAGAAAAUUAGAUUAAAAACUAGGAUUAGAUACCCUAUUAUUCUAAUUGUAAUUAAAAAAUCUAAAGGAGUAAAAGUUAAGUUCUUAAAAUUUAAAGAUUUUGGCGGUAUUUUAGUCUUUUCAGAGGAACCUGUCAUGUAAUUGAUAAUCCACGAUUAAAUUAACUUAAAUUAGAAAUUUGUAUAUCGUCGUUAUUUGAAUAUUUUAAAAGAAUUAAAUGUUCAUAAAUUUUUAUUAAAAUAAAAAUCAGAUCAAGGUGCAGUUUAUAUUUAAGAAUAGAUGGGUUACAUUAAAUAUAUUUAUGGAAGUUUAAUUUUAAAUUAAGUUUAAAUUGGAUUUGAGAGUAAUUAUAUUUAUAUUUUUGUAAUGAUUUAGCUCUAAAAUAUGCACAUAUCGCCCGUCAUUUUCAUUAAAAUGAAACAAGUCGUAACAAAGUAGGUCUACUGGAAAGUGGAUCUAGAAUCAA